UUGGAGGGCAAGUCUGGUGCCAGCAGCCGCGGUAAUUCCAGCUCCAAUAGCGUAUAUUAAAGUUGUUGCAGUUAAAAAGCUCGUAGUUGAAUUUCGGGGUUAGUAGGUUGGUCAUGCCUCUGGUAUGUACUGGUCUCACUGAUUCCUCCUUCCUGAUGAACCUUAAUGCCAUUAAUUUGGUGUUUUGGGGAAUUUGGACUGUUACUUUGAAAAAAUUAGAGUGUUUAAAGCAAGCUAACGCUUGAAUACAUUAGCAUGGAAUAAUGAAAUAGGACGUUCGAUCCUAUUUUGUUGGUUUCUAGGAUUGACGUAAUGAUUAAUAGGGAUAGUUGGGGGCAUUAGUAUUCAAUUGUCAGAGGUGAAAUUCUUGGAUUUAUUGAAGACUAACUACUGCGAAAGCAUUUGCCAAGGAUGUUUUCAUUAAUCAAGAACGAAAGUUAGGGGAUCGAAGACGAUCAGAUACCGUCGUAGUCUUAACCAUAAACUAUGCCGACUAGGGAUCGGAUGAUGUUAUUUUUUUAAUGACUCAUUCGGCGCCCUACGGGAAAC
rnacentral:rRNA from 1 species